rnacentral:rRNA from 1 species
UACGGGGGGGGGCAAGCGUUGUUCGGAAUUACUGGGCGUAAAGGGCUCGUAGGUGGCCAACUAAGUCAGACGUGAAAUCCCUCGGCUUAACCGGGGAACUGCGUCUGAUACUGGAUGGCUAGAGUUUGGGAGAGGGAUGCGGAAUUCCAGGUGUAGCGGUGAAAUGCGUAGAUAUCUGGAGGAACACCGGUGGCGAAGGCGGCAUCCUGGACCAACACUGACGCUGAGGAGCGAAAGCCAGGGGAGCAAAGCGGGG